UGUGUGUGUAAUAUAUAUAUACUUAUAUAUGGCAUAUAAGUAUAUAUAUGUGUAUAUAUAUGGCAUAUAAAUAUAUAUAUGUAUUUAUACUGUGACAUGUGGUAGGCAUUUAGUAAAAAGUUGUUGAAUUCAAUUCAGCUCAUCACUGGGAUGAAGUGGAUGCACAAUAUAUAUUUCUUAUAUAUCUCAAUUGAUAUAUCUUAUAUAACAUAUAUAAGAAAGAUACAUCAUUAUAUAUAAGUGUGGCAGAUAUUAGGCUAAGUAUUUGGUCAAUGAGAUAUAAGUGGAAUUUGCUGGAUGGCAGGUCGGGGGCGGCUUUGUGUAAUAAUUUUGUGUCUUGAUAAGGUCGGAAUAUGGCUAGGACCAUCCCUGACUCUCUCUUUUUUCCUUGAAUGUGAACACAUGGGUGAAGCGUACAUCCAUUUUCUUUGGAGCAAGAAACAUGAGGAUGAAAAGCCAAAAGUUAAGGAUGUGGAGUGAAAGCCAGAAAGGGCUUCUUAUUCAUGUUAUCACUGAGCAGCUAAAGAGGAAACACAAAGCAUAUACAUUUGCUGGCAUUUUAAAUUACAGAAGAAAAUGCAACAGGAAGUAACUUCAGCUGGAAUGUGACUUGCAACCAGAUGUACUUACUGAACAGGGCAUACCUGGUGUGAGCUUGGGACACGUGAGUGGAACCUUCAAUGGUUAGCCACCUCUGCUGCCUUUCAGACUUAUGCUUUCUUUAGAGGCAAGUUCCUGGACCCUUGGAACUAUGGGAAUUUAAUGCUGAUGCCAGCAGAAAAAACACCACCCUUCCAGUUCCCUACAGCUACUGCCUGAUUCUCUUGAACUGCAGCAGAACUCUCCUCCUCUGCAAAUCCUGACCCCGCUGAGUGUGUGAGCUCUGGCAGAGUAUCCAGGGUAAAUUGGCACACACUCCCUCCUGUCUGUUUGGGUGACUCACUGUGUUCAGAGCACAUUUUCCCUUCAUUGACUGCCAGCUAUAGCUAUUGGCUCACUCAUUCUCUUUGGAACAACUCAGCACUCCUGUGCUAAUGCAGUUGCUUGAACUGAUGUACAAUUGUGUGGAGUCCUGCAGAAAAACAUAAAACUCUGCUGAAGGCUGAGACCUGUCUCAUUUACCAGGACAUCAGACAAAGAUGCUUAUCUUUGUCUACUUGUUGCUAACAUACUCAUCUUAUCUGUGGCCCUCUUAUUGCUUUCCAGCGUAUAGAAACCUCACAAACUGCAAAGACUCAAAAGUGCCAGUGGUCAGGAUAUCAAAGACGAAUGUGUUUCCUUUUAUCUGUAUCUUAAGAUGAGAAACUAAAGGCUUGCAUAUGUGGAAAUAUAGGCAAUUUCUCUCCCUUUCCUGCUAUUCUCAGCACUUGUGUAGUUUGGAGUGUAUUAGCUGAGCCUUGUAUAUAGACAUAGAUUUCACGUAAGUUAACUAUCUUCCUAUAUAAGCCACUACCUUCAUUAAAAGCAGGGAACCAUUCUCUUUUGUGUCUACUCCAGAGCCUGGUUAUAGGUUGAGUUCAAUGCAUCCUUAGAAAGGCUUGUUGAAAAACUGAAUGGGGCAAACUCUCAUAGAAAAGCAGAGAGUGUUGAAGGAAGGGCUAUUUUGCCAGUCAUCUUAAUUUUUUCCACACAAUUUCUGCACAUCAAAAGAAGUCUUCAGUUAUUCUUGGAGAGAAAAAAUGCAUAAUAAAUCAGUCUGCAGUAACCUAAUUUCACCUCAUGGGUUAGACAAAUAGCCAGAAUUGAGUUUUAAAGAAAAAGUGUCUGUGAGAAUCUGGGCACACGACGGAGGCUGGGUAUUUUAUGUGAAUUUGUCCAUGUGCGAUGAAUGUCUUAAUUUUUCCAGUUAAAAUGGUUAAGCUCUUGGACUCUGGAGUUAGAGAUUUGAAAUGGAUUUCUGUCUAGGCCACAUAUAAAUGGAGUGAAUAUGUGUGACACCACUUAACCGCUUUAAGCCUCAGGUGCUUCACAUAUCAAGCAUAUGUAAUAGAAAUCCCUCAUGGAGUUGUGGUUAGAGUUAAAUGAGACAAUUGAUGUCAUGUGCUUAGCCAGAUAACUAAUAUAUAGUAAUUAAUAAAUGACAGUUAUUAUUACUAAUGGUGUUUGAUUACAUGUGGACAUUGAGGGAUGGGGCAAUUGAGACUUACAUUCAUAUAUUAAUUUGUUUCUAAUAUUGACCUGAAUUUCUAUGUAGUUCACUGUGAGAAAAAAAGAAAAAAACAUCACCUCUCAUGAAAAAAGCAAAGCUAAAUAUCAAUGUCACUAAUCAUCAGGAAAAUGCAAAUCGUAAUCAUAAUGAGAUAUUAGCUUCCUCUUGUCAGGAUGACUAUUGUUUUAAGAAACAUACAAAAUAUCAGAAGUGUUGUUGAGGAUGUGGAGAAAUUGGAACUUUUGUACAGUGUUAAUGGGAAUGCACAGUGGUGCAGCCACUAUGGAAAAUAGUGUGGAAAUACAAAAACUAGAACUGCUGUAUGAUCCAGUGAUCUCAUUUCUGGGUAUUUAUCCAAAAGAAUUAAAACUAGAAUUUCAAAGAGAUAUUAGCACUCCUGUGUUCACUGAAGCACCAUUCACAGUAGCCAAGAUGUGGAAACAAUCCAAAAGUUUGCUGACAAGUGAAUAGAUAAAGAAAAUGUGAUAUAUAUGCAGAACAUAAUACCAUUCAGCCUUUAAAAAGAAGGAAAUUCUUUAAUAUGCAGUAACGUACACGAACCUUGAGAACAGGUAGCACAAUAAACCAACCACUGAAAGACAAAGGCUGCAUGAUUCCAUUCAUGUGACAUAUCUAAAAUAGUCAAAUUCAUAGUCAAAGAAAGCCAUGGUGUUACCAGGUACCGGUGGCAGGGGUAAAUAGGGAAUUACUAAUUACUAGGCAUAAAGCUUUGGGCAAGCAAGAUGAAUCUGGAGAUCUGCUGCACAAUGUUGCACCUAUCAUCAACAAUAUACUGUAUGCUUAAAAAUGUGCUGAGGGUAGAUAUUAUAUUAAAUAUUCUUACCACUUUAAUAAUUGUCUAAAACCUUAAAUUAAAAUUAAAUAGAAGUAUUCGGUACACUCUCAUUGGCCUAUUGUUAAUGCUUCACCUUGUGGAAAGUUGGCAACAUGAGAGUUUUAUGGAAAGAGAAUCGUUCCAUCACUUUUAUUUCCAAAUAUGUAACUGACUCUUUCAAAGGUUGAAUGUCAAGCUUAUGUAACUGCAUGGAAUUACUCGAUGAUUUGAGUGAUUCCAAUUCAUCAUGACAUCUUGGAUCCAGAAGCCGUUUCUGAAGCCAUCCCAAAUAGAUAAAGAUCAUCUACUGUCAAUAGAACUGGGAUUUCAGUAAGAAAAAUUGGCAGAAGAUGCAUUUUUCAUGUACUUCCGUAGUUUUUGAGGGUUGUUCCAUACUGAGCUAUGAGAGUAUUGAUUUUACCCCAAUGGCUUCCAUAUUAGAAAAGAUGUAAGAAAUAUACUUACUAAUUGCAUAUUUUAAGUCUUCAAGAUAUAUCUAGGACAAAGCAAUAUUACAGCAAGAAGCUUUGAACUUUCUGGAAAAAUCAAAUUUUAUUUUUCCAAUUGAGAUAUCACAAAUAAUAUUGAACAUGUCUUAAACAACUUCAAAUCAAAGAUAAUACAUUUAAGACAAUAAUAAAAUUGUCCACGAUACCCUUUGGGAAUAAUCUUGGAGAAAACUAUUCUUCAUUAAAAAUGGAUAUUGCUGAACAAAACAAAUAUAAUGCAGAGGCACUUGCUUACUUUACAUUGAUCAGUGAACUCUAUUUGACCUUCACUUUAAGGACACAUAGCAGGAAAGCUGUCUGGAAUACCCCACCCUAAACAGUGGAUGAAUUUGUUACAUCUCUGAGUAAAGAAUGCCUGAGCAUCACUACUUGAUAGAGGAGGAAAAACAAAAAUAGUUCAAGCCGUUUUUAUUCAGGAAAAGUUCAAUUUUUAGGUUCAUCCUCAAAACACUGAAGUUGAAGAGACUUGGAGCUCGCUGACUUAGUGGUAUAUUUCAGUUAUGAAUAAUAAGAGAUGAAGCAUUUGUUACUAUUGUAAAAACCUGAUAAGCUCUAUUCCACAGUGACUCAAAACUCUGCUGAGUUAAUACUUUUGGAACAAGACUGAUCUUGGCUUGAAAUUACACUGAAUCAAGUGGACACUUUUUAGACCUUAUCUUACUUGACUGCUCUGCACACUUUGACAUUGUUGGCUGAACUCUUCUCUGUGAAACUCUUCAGCUGAGCUGAACUCUUCCUUGGCAUCUGAGAUUCCUCACUCUCAAAGAGGUUCUCCACUCUACCUUGUGAUGACUUGUGACCAAUCUCUUAAAAGUUGGUCUUGCUGAGAUUUUGUUGUGAUCUUGUUAGAAUUAAACACUAAACACAUA